rnacentral:rRNA from 1 species
AUUGAACGCUGGCGGCAGGCCUAACACAUGCAAGUCGAACGAGUGGCGGACGGGUGAGUAAUGUCUGGGCAACUGCCUGAUGGAGGGGGAUAACUACUGGAAACGGUAGCUAAUACCGCAUACCCUCGGAUGUGCCCAGAUGGGAUUAGCUAGUAGGUGGGGUAAUGGCUCACAAAGGCGACGAUCCCUAGCUGGUCUGAGAGGAGGACCAGCCACAUGGGAACUGAGAAAGGGUCCAGACCCCGAGGGGAGGCAGCAGUGGGGAAUAUUGCACAAUGGGCGCAGGCCUGAUGCAGCCAUGCCGGGUGUAUGAAGAAGGCCUUCGGGUUGUAAAGUACUUUCAGCGGGGAGGCGUUACCCGAAGAAGAAGCAACGGCUAACUCCGUGCCAGCAGCCGCGGUAAUUC